AGAGAACAGUUUGGAUGUGGGUUUUGGGUUGGUUUGGGGUUUUUUUUGCGGCGGGGGGGUGAAUAGAGGUUUAAAGACUUGGGUUACUCAAUGUUAAAUUUGAUUUGCUGUGUUCAUGUGGCUUGUAUGCAACUUCUGAAAAUAACCAUGGCAUUUUUCCUCAUACUGCAGUCAGUGGGUCAGCCUUUGCACCUGUGAAUCAGCUCAGUCUUUUCUGUCAUGUACAGUAAUUGGCUGCUCAGUUAUGUAGUGCCAUUUGCAGCCUCUUUUAGCUGCCUCUGUCAAACAUGCCAAGUCCUUCUGCCAGUAGUAAAGCACUUAUAAAUGAGCAUUUUGGAAUAAAAAGAGCAUUUUAUAAGCACUUCUAGCUAGAUUCUGAAGAACAAAAGUACUUCUGGAAUAAAGGUUUUUACGAAGCGAAAUAUAUAGAAAUGAAGAAGGCUAUCAGUCACAUUCUGGAUCAUGGCUAUUCUGUACUGGAUUCCCCCAAGGCAAAUCAAUCAUUUUCGAAAGUGGAUAAGCCCUUGACUAAAGAACAAGAGGAAGACAAAGUGAAAUAACAGAAAUUACUGUAAACUUCAAGCGAUCUUGAAGAAAAUAAAGGCAAAGUCUCUAUGUUUCUCUGUAAUCCAACUGGAUUCAUGUAUCCAUAUACAAGAGUUGGUUUUAGAUUAUGUAUUUGCUGUCUAUGUGUUUUCUCAUCUAAGUUGGUUCGUUGCUAAGCUAUAGGCAAGCAUGUGCUACACAGAAUGACUCAUAGACCUGUAGGCCAGGAUGCUUUUCUUGGUUUUCCAUUGAGCAUUCUUUUUAUCCUACACAGAUAUAAAUAAGUGCCCUCAUUGACUUCCUUAUUAUUUAGUACUAGGAAAGUAAAUCUGAAUUAUUUUAAUUGCAUUAAAUAUGUUUUCUGUAAUUUAAAGGGAAACUAUUUCAUUACCAUCUGUUAUAAUCUUAAAAGUUCUGUUCUUACAUAUUGAUAUACGUAGCACCACAACACAAUAUAGUAACAUAUAGAAGCAAAAUAAACACUGAACUGAAUUGCUGUAAAAUAGUGGUUAUUUAAAGGGAAAAACAUGAAUAUGUAUGUAAUGUUCUUAUUAAAAUGAAUUAUUUUAUUGCAGCUUGAGAGAAAUCUGACAGCUUUAGGAGGGGGCAGUGAGGUUUCACAGACCUCACUGGUUUGGAAAUGAGAGCUUGGGAGGCAAAAUGGUUUUCUCAUUUCUUCCUCUACUCUUGGGAGGUGAGAUAGGCUAUAGGAACAGAAAGGGAAAAAGAAGGUGUGAGCACGGGUGGGAAAUAGAAGGCCCCCUUGAGCAAGCCUUCACUUUUUUGUUUUUCUUAGGGGUGGUAGUCUGUGGCAUCAGUGCCAACUGCUGCUGCUGCGAAGGUUGUUCCUGUUAGUAUUAGCAGUAUCUCCCUUCUGCCCUCACCAUCAUCAGUUGCAAUGAGCUGUGCCGACUUUAUCCACACCUGGGACCAGCUCAGGUUCCAGCCAAGAGCUUAUUCAGUUUUAUUUCUAUUUUAAUCUGGUUUUAUUAUCCAGGUACAGUGGUGAACUAAAGACAUAGAAACACCUGUCUGCUGUACCAACUGGGCUUAUGUAGAUCAUCUUAUUCAGGGUCCAGCAAUGACAAUAUUUUUUUAAAUGUCUAAUUCACAUCAAAACACUUUGGAUUAUUAUUUCACGUGUAGUAAGGUUUUUUGCAUAUAUCCCCCCUCCCAAGCAUCCUGGCAUAUAGCAAAAUCGUCACAGCUAAAACAGUGACAGAUGGUUGGUGUUUGUAGUACAAGCAGUUCUAAUGACCACCUUUGGUUCACAGACAGUGAUUGCAGAAUAGCUACGUAAGAGAUUUCUUUUCAAUUCCAAGCAGCUAUCUGCUUUAUUAGAACCAAUUCACUUUUUCUUUUGAUUUGGUUUGCUUUGUUGCUUUUUUCUUCUACCAUCUUCUGCUGGUGGGUAAUUAGA